rnacentral:lncRNA from 10 species
GCAGUCAGUAUUUAGGUACUGUUUUUCACAUUCCUUACAUGGGAAUCACGUCAACAGGAUUCAAUUUGUGACUCAACCAUUAAUACUUUGUGACACUGGCUAAUUUAUUGCACUUCUGGGUCUCGGUUAUGCUUUUUGUGGGGGGAGGGGAGGGCAGGGUCUCGCUCUGCUCUGUCACCGGAGCUGGAGUUUAGUGGAGGGAUCUCUGCAGCCUCAACUUCCUGGGCUAUCAAGCGAUCCUUCCACCGCAGCCUCCCCAGUAGCUGGGACCACAGGUGCGCGCCAUCAUGCCUGGGUGAUUUGUAAAAUUUGUUUGUUUAUUUUAAACAGAGUCUCGCUCUGUCGCCCAGGCUGGAGUGCAGUGGUGCGAUCUGGGCUCACUGCAAGCUCCGCGUCCCAGGUUCACGCCAUUCUCCUGCUUCAGCCUCCCGAGUAGCUGGGACUACCGGCGCCCGCCACCACGCCCAGCUAAUUUUUUGUAUUUUUUAGAAAAGACGGGGUCCCUGUGUUAGCCAGGAUGGUCUCGAUUUCCUGACCUCGUGAUCCGCCCGCCUCGGCCUUCCAGAGUGCUGAGAUUACAGGCGUGAGCCACCGCGCCCAGCAAGUAAAAUUUCUUUUGUAGAGACAGUGAUCUUGCUUUGUGGCCCAGGCUGGUCUCGAACUCCUGGCCUCAAGGAAUCCUCCUGCGUGGGUCUUCUAAAGAUUCAGCUGCUUUUGGAUCAACCGAUCGCCUUAAGACCCUUUAACUCGAACAACUGUCACAUCCUCGGAUCCGCGAAGGGCUGAAACUCAAAGAGUUUUUGAAGCGUCCCUCGGCGCAGUGGCUCCGCUCCACCUCCCAUUCGCGCUACCACCGCGGUCGCAGCGCCAGGAUCGCCAGGGGGCCAGCGUCGCUCUCCCGCUGCUGCGCGCCGGAAGCCGGAAGCAGGGACUGAGCCACAGACUAGGAAAGGCAGGCUUCUCCGGGGCUCCCCAGUGCCCUAGCUUUAGCCUGGAGGCCGCCCUCUUCUAUUUGCUCUUAGACGUCACGGGGGCACCCCAGUCCCCUCGACCCUUUGGAUCCGGCUCACAUUUCCUCCGGUGAAGAGCCAAAGGCCCCGGAAGUGACGUUUGCACGGCUUGCGUAUCGUGCGUGCGCAGGCCGCGCCGGGGGCGGGGCUAGCAGGAGGGUGUGUGUGGGGCGGGAGCGGACAACGGAGACCAGACCUACUGCAGCCACGCGGGCGAGCGGCUGUGUGGAUGUCGGCGAAGCCGCGGGCGAGGAUGCCUGGGGCGUGGGGGGCAGAAUGUCAGCCGGCAAAGUGGGGACCGGAGUACCCGGGAAGCUGGGAUGAAGGAGCCUCCUCUGCAGCCUCGGUGGAAGAUGGGGCCAAGGGAAAGUCCAGAGCCUGGGCCAUCUCCAGCCUCACUCACCCUCCUCCCUCACCUGGUCCCUGGGCUGAGGAUCAUGGCCCGGCCUGAGAACCCCCAAGGCAGCAUGCAGAGGCCGGGUCUGCACCGAGCCCUGACACUGACAGGCUGUGUGACGACGACUGACAACUAACCCUCUCUGGUUUUACUUUCUAUCACCUCUUAGGCAGAGCAGUGGGCGCAGAUGCCAUGGCGGGAAGCAGGCCUUUCUGAAUUCUUAGCAGCGAUCUCCAGGGGCACUCUAACCUUGCAAGAAAGAGGCUGCCAGUCUUGCAUCAGAUGCAGAAACCAGGGCGCAGAGUAGCCUGCCCCUCCUGUGACUUCCCCGUCUCGGGAAAUGGCACCAUCAUCAUCUACCUGGUGGCUCCGGCCAGAAAACAGGGAGGCAUCUUUGGAUCAUCUCACCCUCACCACCCACACCCGGGCCACCACCAAGACUCUUCAAUUCUACCUCCAAAAUAAAUCCCUACCCCACUUCCCUCUGUUCUCGUUGCCACCCCUGUGUCAAGCCAUCACCAGCUUGGCCCUGGAGGCCAGCACAGCCUCCUUCCCGCCUCCCUGCCUCCUCUCUACCCCCAACAGCCAGAAUAACUUGCAGAAAAUGUAAAUCAGGCCCCAUCUCAUUCUCCUUCUUAAACCGCCCCUUUCCCCAAGGGCUUCCUAUUGCAUUUGCACCAAAAUCGACACCCCCCAAAUAGCUCUGAGGUUCACCAUGACCUGGUGCUGCCUCACCUCCUCCAAUUUCACUGUCCCCUAGUUCUUUUCCCCUGGAAUCUGUGUGUUUGCAUAAGCUGUUCCCUUUGCCUGGAUGCUCUUCCCUGCAAUUCUUUCCCCACUGGUCCCUUCUCAUACUUUAGGUCUCAGCUGGGAGCUUACUUAAACUUUUUUGUUUGAGAUGGAGUCUCAUGCUGUCACC